UUGAACGCUGGCGGUAUGCUUAACACAUGCAAGUCGAAUGGAAACGAUACUAGCUUGCUAGUAGGCGUCGAGUGGCGGACGGGUGAGUAACGCGUAGGAAUCUGCCUGAUAGUGGGGGAUAGCCCGAAGAAAUUCGGAUUAAUACCGCAUAAUCUAUUCGUAGUAAAGUGGGGGACUUUCGAGCCUCACGCUAUCAGAUGAGCCUGCGUAAGAUUAGCUUGUUGGUAGGGUAAAAGCCUACCAAGGCGACGAUCUUUAGCUGGUCUGAGAGGAUGAUCAGCCACAUCGGGACUGAGACACGGCCCGAACUCCUACGGGAGGCAGCAGUGGGGAAUAUUGGACAAUGGGGGCAACCCUGAUCCAGCAAUACCGCGUGUGUGAAGAAGGCCUGAGGGUUGUAAAGCACUUUCAAUUGUGAAGAAAAGUUAGCGGUUAAUAACCGUUAGCCUUGACGUUAACUUUAGAAGAAGCACCGGCUAACUCCGUGCCAGCAGCCGCGGUAAUACGGAGGGUGCAAGCGUUAAUCGGAAUUACUGGGCGUAAAGCGUGCGUAGGCGGUUUAUUAAGUCAGAUGUGAAAGCCCCGGGCUUAACCUGGGAACUGCAUUUGAAACUGGUCAACUAGAGUAUGGUAGAGGAAAGUGGAAUUUCUGGUGUAGCGGUGAAAUGCGUAGAUAUCAGAAGGAACAUCAAUGGCGAAGGCAGCUUUCUGGACCAAUACUGACGCUGAGGUACGAAAGCGUGGGUAGCAAACAGGAUUAGAUACCCUGGUAGUCCACGCCGUAAACGAUGAUAACUAGCCGUUGGGGGGAUUUACCCUUUAGUGGCGAAGCUAACGCGUUAAGUUAUCCGCCUGGGGAGUACGGCCGCAAGGUUAAAACUCAAAGGAAUUGACGGGGACCCGCACAAGCGGUGGAGCAUGUGGUUUAAUUCGAUGCAACGCGAAGAACCUUACCUGGUCUUGACAUCCUGCGAACUUUCUAGAAAUAGAUUGGUGCCUUCGGGAACGCAGUGACAGGUGCUGCAUGGCUGUCGUCAGCUCGUGUCGUGAGAUGUUGGGUUAAGUCCCGUAACGAGCGCAACCCCUAUCCUUAUUUGCCAGCACAUCAUGGUGGGAACUAUAAGGAGACUGCCGGUGAUAAACCGGAGGAAGGCGGGGACGACGUCAAGUCAUCAUGGCCCUUACGACCAGGGCUACACACGUGCUACAAUGGGAAGGACAAAGAGCCGCGAAGCCGCGAGGUGUAGCUAAUCUCAUAAACCUUUUCGUAGUCCGGAUUGGAGUCUGCAACUCGACUCCAUGAAGUCGGAAUCGCUAGUAAUCGUAGAUCAGAAUGCUACGGUGAAUACGUUCCCGGGUCUUGUACACACCGC
rnacentral:rRNA from 1 species